rnacentral:lncRNA from 1 species
ACCAGCGUUGCAGCAGCAGCCAGAAUCCACGUGGCCGAUUGUUUUGCAGACAUAAUGGUGGCGUAUUUAUGUAUCUCCAGACUUGUUUUUCAGGAUCUGUGGCUGCCUAUAUCGUGAAGCUUGCUUCUCAACAACAGAAAUAAAGUGCUUGUCAGGCAGAAGCAAUGCGUCAGUGCAAAAUGGAAUGCUCCAGACUGAAGCUUGCACGAGGCGACAGCACAAUCCACUGUGCCCUUCUGCUGGGCAACAAAGGAGAAAAACACUUUGUCAGCAUCUGUGAGGAAAAAUGCCGUUUUGCAUCAAGAAAACGCUGGAGGUGACACAGUCUAGGUGCUGCACCCAGGAGGCUUACAGGUCAUGGUUUGGACUAUGUGGUGUGAAGAGAAAAGAAAGAACAAGACAGGAGAAGGCUGGGAGCAGAAGUUACAGCACUAGUACUGCUGGCUGCUUUCUCUUCUGGUCACAUUUGGGUUGUCUUGUGGAACCUUCCUAG